CAUGAACAGUGGCGUCUAUGCUUAUAGGUUACGCGACAUUCUAGAUAAUAUUCAUGAACAGUGGCGGCUAUGCUUAUAGGUUACGCGACAUUCUAGAUAAUAUUCAUGAACAGUGGCGUCUAUGCUUAUAGGUUACGCGACAUUCUGGAUAAUAUUCAUGAACAGUUGCGUCUAUGCUUAUAUGUUACGCGACAUUCUAGAUAAUAUUCAUGAACAGUGGCGUCUAUGCUUUUAGGUUACGCGACAUUCUAGAUAAUAUUCAUGAACAGUGGCGUCUAUGCUUAUAGGUUAUGCGACAUUCUAGAUAAUAUUCAUGAACAGUGGCGUCUAUGCUUACAGGUUACGCGAAAUUCUAGAUAAUAUUCAUGAACAGUGGCGUCUAUGCUUACAGGUUACGCGAGAUUCUAGAUAAUAUUCAUGAACAGUGGCGGCUAUGCUUAUAUGUUACGCGACAUUCUAGAUAAUAUUCAUGAACAGUGGCGGCUAUGCUUAUAGGUUACGCGACAUUCUACAUACUAUUCAUGAACAGUGGCGUUUAUGCUUAUAGGUUACGCGACAUUCUAGAUAAUAUUCAUGAACAGUGGCGUCUAUGCUUAUAGGUUACGCGACAUUCUGGAUAAUAUUCAUGAACAGUGGCGUCUAUGUUUAUAGGUUACGCGACAUUCUGGAUAAUAUUCAUGAACAGUUGCGUCUAUGGUUAUGGGUUACGCGACAUUCUAGAUAAUAUUCAUGAACAGUGGCGUCUAUGCUUAUAGGUUACGCGACAUUCUAGAUAAUAUUCAUGAACAGUGGCGUCUAUGCUUAUAGGUUAUGCGACAUUCUAGAUAAUAUUCAUGAACAGUGGCGUCUAUGUUUAUAGGUUACGCGACAUUCUAGAUAAUAUUCAUGAACAGUGGCGUCUAUGUUUAUAGGUUAAAAUGACAUUAGCCAUCUAAAUGUAUAUUUCGGUAAGUUAAACAUGCUCUCAGACGUUUGCGCGGAUGCCGACAUCCCAAAGUUACCACGUGUAAUAUAAGCAAUGCAUAACACUUCUCAUAUGGUAUUUAUCAUGCUAUUUGUGAAAAUAUUACAAAACAUGGCUUUUUGUUUUUGGCACAAUAUAACGAUUUAUAAAAAGGAUUUCGAUACUUUUUGCAGAGCGGGUUCUUAAAUACUCCCUGUUUUUACACAUAUGCACGGUUUUACACAUGAUAUCAUUCAUAUUACACAUUGCUUGAUGUUAUUUAUCAAUCUUUAAAAUGGAAAGUACUUCAAAUAAUGUAAUUUUCUGUUAUAAAUUAACGUACUAUAACGGAGUUUUUGGUUAUCCUACAUCAUGAAGCUGCCACUCGCGCUUGUCAAGAUCAUGUUUUGGCUUUGUAAGUGGUAUGAAUUCAACGCCUCUCAAUAAUCAGGAUACCAUUGCGUGAGUUACAUAAACGCCACUGACACUGUUAAACUCUAAUUUCAUUUAUGCUUUUUUUCGAAGAAAAAACCCCCAAACUCUUAGACAUUCGUCUUUUCUUGGAAAAUGGCGAACAGGUCGUUAGCAACCGGCCAAUUCGAUCAAUCGACCGGUGAUUGGUUGUUCGUAAUUAUAGUACAAUCCCUGGGGAAUUAAAUUCCUCUGAUGUUUCAAUCAUUAUUAUUUGGCUUUCAGGUUUACUGUUCAUUGAGGUCAAUAAAGGUCAUGGUCAAUGUUAUUUAAAGGUCAUAAUGUAAAUAAAUGCUACAAAAUUAUGGUUUCUACCCAUAAAAAUGUUAAUUGUAUUACCUGUUUAAUCGAUAUAUGCUCAAAUAGUGUUUUUUAAUAUAGUGCCUUCAGUGUUAAAGAGAAAAAAAUUCAUCUCAAGGCCAUAACUUAAAUGCUCAUUAAAUACAAAGGCAUUAUGUGACACCACCAACUACGUAAUUUUGCUUAGAAACUUGAAUGUAGGAAUAGUUGUUUGUUUAACUUAAUGAUGUAAUUAUGCUUAUUUAACUAAUUACCUUUAUUUAGUUCAAGGACUGAAUAAAAAACUGAUGUUCAUUAUGAUAUAGGGCCUUGCCAGUUGAUUUUUCAAAUGUAUAACCGAUAACUAUUUGAAGUGUUAUAGUCUUCGGAUAAAACUAUUCGGAUAAUUGUAUCAUUUGUUCUUGCUCAUUAUAGCUCAUCAUGAUAAGUUAAAAAUAAAGAAAAAACAAUUUGUAGGUCACCGCAUUCAAUGUUUUGAAAGUGUUAUAUAUUUCGGAUACACCGAUUCGGAUAUAAUUAUAUUUGUGCUUUAUUUUCUUUUUAAAGUUUCUUUGUUUAAUGUUCUUGUUUAAAAGGCUAAUGCCGUAUAAGUAUAUUUUACUGUAAAUUUUUGAAUAUACAGUUUUAUUAAUAAAUUUUGAAACAGAA